ACCCUUUCAGGGUCACACCUGGAGAGUUUCUAGUACUCUAUCAGUCUCGAUUACAGGAGGGAGAGUCAAGCAGAGGCCUGUCCAUUUCAUUCCUAGCUUGACCAGUGGCUAGCAUGUGGAAGGCGAUCUGCUACAAGU